GGGGCCGUGGCGGAACCGGCAGACGCAGCGGACUUAAAAUCCGCGGCCGCGCGUGCGGCGUGAGGGUUCGAAUCCCUCCGGCCCUA
rnacentral:tRNA from 1 species